UAGCUCAUUACAACAGCCAUCGUUUAUUAGAAUACUCCGUUAUCCUACUUGGAUAACUGUGGCAAUUCUAGAGCUAAUACAUGCGAAAAAGCUCGGACCGCGAGGAACGAGCGCAUUUAUUAGAAUAAAAACCAAUCGGGCCUCGCGCCCGUCUCUUGGUGAAUCUGAAUAACUUUGCCGAUCGCACGGUCCUAGCACCGGCGACGUAUCUUUCAAGUGUCUGCCUUAUCAACUUUCGAUGGUAGGCUACACGCCUACCAUGGUGUUAACGGGUAACGGAGAAUUAGGGUUCGACUCCGGAGAGGGAGCCUGAGAAACGGCUACCACAUCCAAGGAAGGCAGCAGGCGCGCAAAUUACCCACUCCCGGUACGGGGAGGUAGUGACGAAAAAUAACGAGACAGUCCUCUUCGAGGUCUGUCAUCGGAAUGGGUACAAUUUAAAUCCUUUAACGAGGAUCUAUUGGAGGGCAAGUCUGGUGCCAGCAGCCGCGGUAAUUCCAGCUCCAAUAGCGUAUAUUAAAGUUGUUGCGGUUAAAACGCUCGUAGUUGGAUCUGCGGCCGCGGAGCACGGUCCCCCGAAAGGGUGGCUCACCGUCGCUCCUAGCCUACAGUCCGCGACGUCCGCGCGUGCUCUUCACCGGGUGCGCGCGGUGUCCGGAACGUUUACUUUGAAAAAAUUAGAGUGCUUAAAGCAGGCGAAGUAGCCUGAAUAAUGUUGCAUGGAAUAAUGGAAUAGGACCUCGAUUCUAUUUUGUUGGUUUUCAGAGUCCGAGGUAAUGAUUAAGUGGGACGGACGGGGGCAUUCGUAUUCCGGCGCUAGAGGUGAAAUCGCUGGGAUCACCGGAUGACGGACGACUGC
rnacentral:rRNA from 1 species